CCACCUUUGACAUGGCAGGAAGGCUCCAGAGAUGGGGCUGUGCUCGAAAGAGAACCUGCACACAGGUGCUGCAUGGCUGUCGUCAGCUCGUGUCGUGAGAUGUUGGGUUAAGUCCCGCAACGAGCGCAACCCUUGCCAUUAGUUGCUACGAAAGGGCACUCUAAUGGGACUGCCGGUGACAAGCCGGAGGAAGGUGGGGAUGACGUCAAGUCCUCAUGGCCCUUAUAGGUGGGGCUACACACGUCAUACAAUGGCCGGUACAAAGGGUAGCCAACCCGCGAGGGGGGGCCAAUCCCAUAAAGCCGGUCGUAGUCCGGAUCGCAGUCUGCAACUCGACUGCGUGAAGUCGGAAUCGCUAGUAAUCGUGGAUCAGCAUGUCACGGUGAAUACGUUCCC
rnacentral:rRNA from 1 species